rnacentral:lncRNA from 10 species
GCCUUCCCAUCAUGUGGUAUUACACUGGUUGGAAGUUGAAUUUUAAAAAGCUUGGCCGGGCGCGGUGGUUCACGCUUGUAAUCCCAGCACUUUGGGAGGCCGAGGUGGGUGCAUCACGAGGUCAGGAGUUUGAGAUCUGCCUGGCCAACAUGGUGAAACCCCAUCUCUACUAAAAAUACAAAACAUUAGCUGGGUGUGGUGG